rnacentral:rRNA from 1 species
AGAGUUUGAUCCUGGCUCAGGAUGAACGCUAGCGGCAGGCUUAACACAUGCAAGUCGAGGGGUAACAGGGAAGCUUGCUUCCGCUGACGACCGGCGCACGGGUGCGUAACGCGUAUGCAACCUACCUCAUACUGGAGAAUAGCCCUUGGAAACGAGGAUUAAUGCUCCAUAGUAUCACAGAUUCGCAUGUUUCUGUGAUUAAAGAAUUUCGGUAUGAGAUGGGCAUGCGUCCCAUUAGCUUGUUGGUGAGGUAACGGCUCACCAAGGCAACGAUGGGUAGGGGGCCUGAGAGGGUGACCCCCCACACUGGUACUGAGACACGGACCAGACUCCUACGGGAGGCAGCAGUGAGGAAUAUUGGACAAUGGAGGCAACUCUGAUCCAGCCAUGCCGCGUGCAGGAAGACUGCCCUAUGGGUUGUAAACUGCUUUUAUACAGGAAGAAAUAUACCUACGUGUAGGUAUUUGACGGUACUGUACGAAUAAGGAUCGGCUAACUCCGUGCCAGCAGCCGCGGUAAUACGGAGGAUCCAAGCGUUAUCCGGAUUCAUUGGGUUUAAAGGGUCCGUAGGCGGGUCUUUAAGUCAGUGGUGAAAGCCGACAGCUCAACUGUCGAACUGCCAUUGAUACUGGAGACCUUGAGUACAAAUGAAGUAGGCGGAAUGAGUCAUGUAGCGGUGAAAUGCAUAGAUAUGACUCAGAACACCGAUUGCGAAGGCAGCUUACUAACAUGUAACUGACGCUGAGGGACGAAAGCGUGGGGAGCGAACAGGAUUAGAUACCCUGGUAGUCCACGCCGUAAACGAUCAUCACUCGCUGUUGGCGAUAUACUGUCAGCGGCCAAGCGAAAGUAUUAAGUGAUGCACCUGGGGAGUACGCCGGCAACGGUGAAACUCAAAGGAAUUGACGGGGGCCCGCACAAGCGGUGGAGCAUGUGGUUUAA